CUACGGGGUGCUGCAGUGGGGAAUAUUGCACAAUGGAGGAAACUCUGAUGCAGCAACGCCGCGUGGAGGAUGACACUUUUCGGAGCGUAAACUCCUUUUAUAUAGGAAGAAGAUGACGGUACUAUAUGAAUAAGCGCCGGCUAACUCCGUGCCAGCAGCCGCGGUAAUACGGAGGGCGCAAGCGUUACUAGGAAUCACUGGGCGUAAAGAGCGUGUAGGCGGAUUAAAAAGUCAGAAGUGAAAUCCUAUAGCUUAACUAUAGAACUGCUUCUGAAACUCUUAAUCUAGAAUAUGGGAGAGGUAGAUGGAAUUUCUGGUGUAGGGGUAAAAUCCGUAGAGAUCAGGAGGAAUACCGAUUGCGAAGGCGAUCUACUAGAACAUUAUUGACGCUGAGACGCGAAAGCGUGGGGAGCAAACAGGAUUAGAUACCCUCGUAGUC
rnacentral:rRNA from 1 species